GACAGAGGUGGCAAGCGUUGUUCGGAUUCAUUGGGUGUAAAGGGCAGGUAGGUGGUCGGAUAAGUCUGAUGUGAAAUCCCAUGGCUCAACCGUGGAACUGCAUUGGAAACUGUCUGACUUGAGUAUCGGAGAGGUGAAGGGAAUUCUCGGUGUAAGGGUGAAAUCUGUAGAUAUCGAGAGGAACACCAGUGGCGAAGGCGCUUCACUGGCCGAUUACUGACACUGAGCUGCGAAAGCAAGGGGAGCAAACAGG
rnacentral:rRNA from 1 species